rnacentral:rRNA from 1 species
GAAUUUUCCGCAAUGGGCGAAAGCCUGACGGAGCAACGCCGCGUGAGGGAAGAAGGCCUCUGGGCUGUAAACCUCUUUUCUCAAGGAAGAAGAUCUGACGGUACUUGAGGAAUAAGCCACGGCUAAUUCCGUGCCAGCAGCCGCGGUAAUACGGGAGUGGCAAGCGUUAUCCGGAAUUAUUGGGCGUAAAGCGUCCGCAGGCGGCCUUUCAAGUCUGCUGUUAAAGCGUGGAGCUUAACUCCAUUAAGGCAGUGGAAACUGUUGGGCCUGAGUGUGGUAGGGGCAGAGGGAAUUCCCGGUGUAGCGGUGAAAUGCGUAGAUAUCGGGAAGAACACCAGUGGCGAAGGCGCUCUGCUGGGCCAUAACUGACGCUCAUGGACGAAAGCCAGGGGAGCGAAAGGGAUUAGAUACCCCUGUAGUC